rnacentral:rRNA from 1 species
UAAGGAAUAUUGGACAAUGGAGGCAACUCUGAUCCAGCCAUGCCGCGUGAAGGAAUAAGGCCCUAUGGGUUGUAAACUUCUUUUAGACGGGACAAAACCCCUUUACGUGUAAAGGGUUGAUGGUACUGUCAGAAUAAGCAUCGGCUAACUUCGUGCCAGCAGCCGCGGUAAUACGAAGGAUGCAAGCGUUAUCCGGAAUUAUUGGGUUUAAAGGGUGCGUAGGCGGACUAAUAAGUCAGUGGUGAAAGCCUGCAGCUUAACUGCAGAAUUGCCAUUGAUACUGUUAGUCUUGAGUACAGUUGAGGGAGGCGGAAUGUGUCAUGUAGCGGUGAAAUGCUUAGAUAUGACACAGAACACCAAUUGCGAAGGCAGCUUGCUAAGCUGUAACUGACGCUGAGGCACGAAAGCGUGGGGAGCAAACA